GACGAACGCUGGCGGCGUGCUUAACACAUGCAAGUCGAACGGAAAGGCCUGCUUUCCCUUGUGGAUUGCGGGUACUCGAGUGGCGAACGGGUGAGUAACACGUGAGUGAUCUGCCCCCAACUUGGGUAUAAGCCUGGGAAACUGGGUCUAAUUCCCGAUAGGACUGCAGGGUGGUGCCUGUGGUGGAAAACGAUUUUCUAGUGGUUGGGGAUGAGCUCGCGGCCUAUCAGCUUGUUGGUGGGGUAAUGGCCUACCAAGGCGGCGACGGGUAGCCGGCCUGAGAGGGUGGACGGCCACAUUGGGACUGAGAUACGGCCCAGACGCCUACGGGAGGCAGCAGUGGGGAGUAUUGGACAAUGGGCGGAAGCCUGAUGCAGCGACGCCGCGGGGGGGAUGACGGCCUUCGGGUUGUAAACUCCUUUCGACCGCGAGGAAGCCACCUGGUUGGAAGGGUGGUGACGGUAGUGGUAGAAGAAGCACCGGCUAACUACGUG
rnacentral:rRNA from 1 species